ensembl:lncRNA
GUUUGAAGGAGAAUGUUGGUGUUUGAAGGAGAAUGUUGGUGUUUGGUAGGGUAUGUUGAUGUUUGAAGGAGAAUGUUGGUGUUUGGUAGGGAAUGUUGAUGUCUGAAGGAGAAUGCUGGUGUUUGAAGGAGAAUGCUGGUGUUUGAUGGAGAAUGCUGGUGUUUGUUAGGGUAUGUUGAUGUUUGAAGGAGAGUGAUGGUGUUUGGUAGGGAAUGUUGAUGUCUGAAGGAGAAUGUUGGUGUUUGGUAGGGUAUGUUGAAGUCUGAAGGAGAAUGCUGGUGUUUGAAGGAGAAUGCUGGUGUUUGAUGGAGAGUGAUGGUGUUUGUUAGGGUAUGUUGAAGUCUGAAGUAGAAUGCUGGUGUUUGAAGGAGAAUGUCGGCAUUUGAAGACGAAUGCUGGUGUUUGGCAGGUGCUUGAUGGACACACUGGUGUUUGAUGGAGAGUGAUGGUGUUCGUUAGGGUAUGCUGGUGUUUGA